rnacentral:rRNA from 1 species
GAUGAACGCUGGCGGCGUGCCUAACACAUGCAAGUCGAACGGAGUUUAUAUUAUGAAGUUUUCGGAUGGAAUGAUAUAAACUUAGUGGCGGACGGGUGAGUAACGCGUGGGUAACCUGCCUCAUACAGGGGGAUAACAGUUGGAAACGACUGCUAACACCGCAUAAGCAUACAGUAUCGCAUGAUACAGUGUGAAAAUAUUUAUAGGUAUGAGAUGGGCCCGCGUCUGAUUAGCUAGUUGGUGAGGUAAAGGCUCACCAAGGCGACGAUCAGUAGCCGGCUUGAGAGAGUGACCGGCCACAUUGGGACUGAGACACGGCCCAAACUCCUACGGGAGGCAGCAGUGGGGAAUAUUGCACAAUGGGGGAAACCCUGAUGCAGCGACGCCGCGUGAGUGAAGAAGUAUUUCGGUAUGUAAAGCUCUAUCAGCAGGGAAGAAAAUGACGGUACCUGACUAAGAAGCCCCGGCUAACUACGUGCCAGCAGCCCG